CUCUCUCUCUCUCUCUCUCUCUCUCUCUCUCUCUCUCUCUCUCUCACAUCCUCCACGAGAUCUGAAGCCAGCCAUGCCUCGCCGAAGCAAGCCAAUGCCGAUCAAAGCCUCACCGACACCGACCAAUGCCUUGACAUCGAUGACUCUCUAACGAAGGAUCUGCAAACCUCUCACUCUCUCUAACUCUCACUCACAGAUCCGUCGCCGGCGACCUCAUCCUCGCCUCCACCAUCUCCGACGAGCUUAUCCUCUCCUCUGCCUAAUCCCCGCAACCGAAGCACCAGAGCAACUCGCCGCCGACGAAGUCAAAUCCAUGUCGAUCUCCGACGAGGUCAAACCGCCGUCGGUCGUCGCCGAAUCUCAGCCCUCUAGCUCAUCCGCUACUCCAUCCGUCCCGCUGAGCUUGGUUGAGAAGUACGAUAUCUUGAGGAGUGUGUCCAAGAUGAGGAGCUCAAGAAGUUGCUGGCGAACAAGGCCGAGCCGAUCUGCUACGACGGAUUUGAACCUUAUGUGUUGAUUUUCUAGGGGUAGUAAUUUUCUAGGGGUAGUAAUUUUCAAAAUAUAAAAAUUACUAGGGGUAGUAAUUUUCUAUUAUUUGCUUGUGUGUUGAUUUUU